UGCCGCGUGGAUGAUGAAGGCCUUAGGGUUGUAAAGUCCUUUCAGCGGGGAAGAUAAUGACGGUACCCGCAGAAGAAGCCCCGGCUAACUUCGUGC
rnacentral:rRNA from 1 species